UUUACAACUCCCAAACCCAAUGUGAACCAUACCAAACUGUUGCCUCGGCGGGGUCACGCCCCGGGUGCGUCGCAGCCCCGGAACCAGGCGCCCGCCGGAGGGACCAACCAAACUCUUUUCUGUAGUCCCCUCGCGGACGUUAUUUCUUACAGCUCUGAGCAAAAAUUCAAAAUGAAUCAAAACUUUCAACAACGGAUCUCUUGGUUCUGGCAUCGAUGAAGAACGCAGCGAAAUGCGAUAAGUAAUGUGAAUUGCAGAAUUCAGUGAAUCAUCGAAUCUUUGAACGCACAUUGCGCCCGCCAGUAUUCUGGCGGGCAUGCCUGUCCGAGCGUCAUUUCAACCCUCGAACCCCUCCGGGGGGUCGGCGUUGGGGACCUCGGGAGCCCCUAAGACGGGAUCCCGGCCCCGAAAUACAGUGGCGGUCUCGCCGCAGCCUCUCCUGCGCAGUAGUUUGCACAACUCGCACCGGGAGCGCGGCGCGUCCACGUCCGUAAAACACCCAACUUUCUGAAAUGUUGACCUCGGAUCAGGUAGGAAUACCCGCUGAACUUAAGCAUAUCAAUAAGCGGAGGAAAAGA
rnacentral:rRNA from 1 species